rnacentral:rRNA from 2 species
UUGACCUCGGAUCAGGUAGGGAUACCCGCUGAACUUAAGCAUAUCAAUAAGCGGAGGAAAAGAA